ACAGCCUGCGCAACGUGGGCCUGUUCGCGCCUCGGAUGGUGGUACUCCCUGGCCUAGUGGCAGUCCAGCCACAGUUGUAGCAGGUGUCAUCUCAUGCAGCCUCAUGCUCGCUGGCGGCACCGCCCUGGGCGCCUCCUCGCGUCCUGACUUUGGCGCCUCCUCGUGCCUUGGGCACCUUGUGCUGCUUUCCACGAUUGUGACCGGCUGUCGAGGAAGAAGACUCCCCCUCUUUCCAAUCCUUCUGGCGGGCGAGCCACCUCUCCUCGGUGAGGUAGAGCUAACCACUGAAGAUGGUCUCCCCACCAAAAGAUGGCUCGUUGCGGUCGUCGAACGCCUUGAGUUGCCUCAUCAGCUCCUCGAUCAACA
rnacentral:lncRNA from 1 species